AUUGAACGCUGGCGGCAGGCCUAACACAUGCAAGUCGAACGAGUGGCGGACGGGUGAGUAAUGUAUGGGCACGUGCCUGAUGGAGGGGGAUAACUACUGGAACAGGUAGCUAAUACCGCAUACCAUCAGAUGUGCCCAGAGUGGAUUAGCUAGUGGGUGUGGUAACGGCUCACAAAGGCGACGAUCCCUAGCUGGUCUGAGAGGCAGACCAGCCACACUGUGAACGAGACACGGUCCAGACUCCUACGGGAGGAAGCAGUGGGGAAUAUUGGACAAUGGGCGAAAGCCUGAUGCAGCCACGCCGCGUGUAGGAAGAAGGCCUUCGGGUUGUAAAGUACUGUUGGCAGGGAAGCGGUACCCGCAGAAGAAGCACCGGCUAACUCCGUGCCAGCAGCCGCGGUAAUUC
rnacentral:rRNA from 1 species